GGUGGGUUAGCUCAAUGGUUAGAGCUUAGGGCUUGUGACCGGAUGGGCCCGGGUUCGAAUCUCACCAGAGGCAGAA
rnacentral:tRNA from 1 species